rnacentral:tRNA from 1 species
GGGCGAUUAGCUCAGUUGGGAGAGCACCUGCCUUACACGCAGGAGGUCAGCGGUUCGAUCCCGGUAUAGCCCACCA